rnacentral:lncRNA from 1 species
UUCGAGAAGUGAAGAGGUUGGGUUACAUAGCAGGUCCUAUGGUGGCUGUGAAUUUGUCACAGUACUUUCUGCAAAUCGUUUCGAUCAUGAUGGUUGGUCAUUUGGGUCAGCUCUCUCUUUCCAGUACUGCUAUUGCCAUCUCCUUCUGUGCAGUCUCCGGCUUCAGUCUUAUUGUAAGUCCCUUCUUUUUCUGUUACUGUUUCGUUUUCUCAAUUAGGGUCUGUCUAAUUUAAAACUUAGGUUUGUGUUUAUGAUAGUUGUUGUUCACUUUCUUUUACUAUAAAGAAGAAAAGGCAAUGUAGGGUUCAGUUGAUAGAACAAGACUUUGUAACUAUUAGGCUGAAUAUAUAGGAUCAAAUUGGUUUGCCAAUCAGUGUUUCAAAACUUGAUGCAUUUUGUAAUGUGUACGUUGCUGAGCAGUUUGGAAUGGCCUGUGCACUCGAAACUCUCUCUGGGCAAGCAUACGGAGCUCAGCAGUAUCGACAGCUAGGACUACAUAUAAGCACUGCUAUCUUUUCUCUAAUGCUAGUUUGUCUCCCUCUAUCUCUUGUGUGGAUUUAUAUGGAGAAGAUACUAGUAUUGUUGGGCCAAGACCCUCUAAUUUCGCAUGAAGCGGGCAGGUUUGCAAGGAUGCUCUUACCUGCACUGUUUGCUUAUGCAGCUCUUCAGCCACUUUGUAAAUAUCUUCAGACACAAAGCUUAAUCGUUCCCUUGCUUUUAAGCUCUU